rnacentral:rRNA from 1 species
AGGGUUUGAUUAUGGCUCAGGAUGAACGCUGGCGGCGUGCUUAACACAUGCAAGUCGAACGGGAAACCUUUUAUUGAAGCUUCGGCAGAUUUAGCUGGUUUCUAGUGGCGGACGGGUGAGUAACGCGUGGGUAACCUGCCCUAUACAGGGGGAUAACAACCAGAAAUGGUUGCUAAUACCGCAUAAGCGCACAGGACCGCAUGGUCCGGUGUGAAAAACUCCGGUGGUAUAGGAUGGACCCGCGUUGGAUUAGCCAGUUGGCAGGGUAACGGCCUACCAAAGCGACGAUCCAUAGCCGGCCUGAGAGGGUGAACGGCCACAUUGGGACUGAGACACGGCCCAG